rnacentral:lncRNA from 10 species
UAGGAACGCAGCUACCGCGCCACUAUCACGAAGAAACAGCAGGCUCGGGGCACGAGACGAACUGGAGACCGCGCUGCCUAGCUGGGUAACCUGGGAAGCAGAGGGUAAUAAGUGGCGCCUUAAGACAACCCUGUAGCAGCAGCAGUGGCGGCCAAAGGAGGCUGCUCAGGGAACAAGCGGCUGUAGUAGUCUGUGGGGCGACUGGAGUGACCGAAGCCAAGGCAGUUUAGUGCCUCUCGUGUUCUUAUUUUUUAACCUCUGACUAUGCAAUUCUGAAACCUCCCCCAUUCGGGGGACCAGACAGCCUGAUAGACACCUUCCACUCUCCUUCCUCCCGCCGUGGUCUCGAGAACAGAAGGAUCUCUCCUUAACGCCUUUCACCAUUAAGAGGAAAGCGAUGGAGGAGCUGAGCGCUGAUGAGAAAUUCUGUGAAAGAAGAAAGAUGAGGAAAAAUGGAAAUUUACUGUGUCAUUGCCAUUUGCAUUUAUGUAUAAUUUGCACUAAUAAUAAUGUUCAUUAUAAUGUAAAUCUACAUCCUUUUAAAAAAUAAAUGGAAUCAUUAUGUGUA